rnacentral:lncRNA from 1 species
AGCCAGCCCCCGGCAGGGCCAGCGCAGGGUUUCUGCGGGGCCGUCCUGUGGCUCUGAUAUCUAUGAGUGGGUGGCCAGCAAAGGCACAGGCACCAGCAGAAAGGAGCAGAGAUGCCCAGAACAUGCUGUCCCCCAAUGCCAGCCCCAAGCGAGGCCAGCUUAGGGUGCGGUGGGCAGAGCCAUCCUGCAGCUCUGAGAUCCACGAAGUGGAGGUGGGAGUAGCGCCAGGCUCCACGGCGUUGGAGCUCUCACAACUUGAGCUCAAUUUUAUUCCGGAGCCAUGACCUGCAGCACAUUGGUGACCAGAAGACGCCCAAAGGCAUUGUGUGAUCAAAGCAAAAUAAAUAUGUUCUUGUUUCUGGAAUUACUAAAGCUUUGAAAAUGGACUUAUCGACCUCAAACCAAUGGGACAUAUUCCUACAUGGCCUUCUCCCCUGUUAGGGUUCCCAGGGUAUGUCUUUAAUGUCUGGUUUAAUAGAAGAAGACUUGGUUCUCCUUUCUGCUUCUAUGUUUAAUUUCUUGUGACAUCCCACGUCAGGUAGCUGGGAAACUCCAAUUAUACUUGUGAGAGAAUGAAAGUGGAAAAGCUGGGCAGAUGUGCCUGAGACAGGUUUGACCAGGCAACUGAAAAGAUAUCCCUAAGAGAAGACAAAGCAAAGGUAUGAAAGGAACACACGUCCCUGACUGACUAGGAGGAACAGAGCUGCCUGCUGUCUGGAACCGCUUCCUCCCAGACUAAGAGAGAAAUAAACUUCUGUUUUCUAUA